GCUGCUCUCAGCAGCUGUGUCUGGGGCAGGUUCUAGAGCAGAGCAGCCCUUUGACCCUGGGCUUGAUUCCUUAGGUGGGGGCACUGGGUUGAGCAAAACUAGAUCUUAGGAGCCAGGAGCUGGGGAAGACAUCAAAAAAGCAACUGCUCUCUCUCUCUCUCUCUCUCUCUCUCUCUCUCUCUCUCUGUGUGUGUGUGUGUGUGUGUGUAAGAGAGAGAGAGACAGAGAAAGAGACAGACAGACUGACUGACAGAUAGACAGACCAACAGAGAACAGGAGAACAGAAGGGACAAACAGAGACAGCACAGGAGAGGUAAGAGAUAAAGGAGUAGGGGUAGGGAGCGAAGCCCACGUCAAAAGAUACAAAACAGAAUCUGAGGGCUGGUCAGUGGCUCAGCAGGAAAAAGUGGGUAAAGGCCGUUGCUGACAAACUCGAUGACCUGAAUCCAAUUUCCAUGACUCACAGGAUGGAAAGAGAAACCAAGUCCGACGGACUGUUCUCAAACCUGCACAUGCAUGCCGUGGAGCUUUGCAUGCUUACACACUCACACACAAAUGUAAAAACAACAACAACAAACAGCUGGUGAGGUUAAGAGGGAAGACAGAGGACAGCAGGGGAGGAAGAGGGAAAGAGGGAAGCACACUGUCCCCCCACAACACUAUUCAUUCUCUACCAGGUCAAGUACCGCCACAGGCAUGAGGAAUCCAGCAAUGGACAGAACAGGCUCAAAGAAGAGGAGGGAGCCCUAGCCUCCUGCAGCUGUGCGGAACCCACCACACCACCAACAGAGCUGAGAACCAGGCAGAGGAAACCAGAAACCCUGGCGUUCUUGGCAAGCACAGCUUCCUUGGUUGAGCCUACUGGCUUCGAGUCCCUCUCUUUCAACUGCCACCUUCUGAAAGCCUGGCCCUCUCCAAUCUGCACCAGUUUGUGGGAGAGGAAGAAGUGGCCUAGUUCUCCAUCUGUCCUGUUCCUUUCAACGUGGUUGCUGAAUGUGGCGGUCCCCAGUAGAAUGACAAGUUCCCUGACCCGGAGGAGUGGAGUUCUGUUUCCAUGAGUGGGGGGUAUGCUUCGUGAACCACACUCAAGCAGGGUGCAGCCUGGUCCACCGCACUCAGUGCUGGUCACCUGGUCAUGGGGAGGAAAACAAGAC
ensembl:lincRNA